GCCUGGAUAGCUCAGCUGGCUAGAGUGUGCUGCUGAUAAUGCUAAGGUUGCAGGUUCAAUUCUUGUAUGAGACA